UACGUAGGGUGCAAGCGUUAAUCGGAAUUACUGGGCGUAAAGCGUGCGCAGGCGGUGAUGUAAGACAGGUGUGAAAUCCCCGGGCUUAACCUGGGAACUGCAUUUGUGACUGCAUCGCUGGAGUGCGGCAGAGGGGGAUGGAAUUCCGCGUGUAGCAGUGAAAUACGUAGAUAUGCGGAGGAACACCGAUGGCGAAGGCAAUCCCCUGGGCCUGCACUGACGCUCAUGCACGAAAGCGCGGGGAGCAAACAGG
rnacentral:rRNA from 1 species